UACGUAGGUGGCAAGCGUUGUCCGGAAUUACUGGGCGUAAAGGGCGCGUAGGCGGAUAAUUAAGUCAGAUGUGUAAACUGCAGGCUUAACCUGGAGAUUGCAUCUGAAACUGGCUAUCUUGAGUGCAGGAGAGGACAGUGGAAUUCCUAGUGUAGCGGUGAAAUGCGUAGAUAUUAGGAGGAACACCAGUGGCGAAGGCGGCUGUCUGGACUGUAACUGACGCUGAGGCGCGAAAGCGUGGGGAGCAAACAGG
rnacentral:rRNA from 1 species